CUACGGGUUGCUGCAGUGGGGAAUAUUGCACAAUGGAGGAAACUCUGAUGCAGCAACGCCGCGUGGAGGAUGACACUUUUCGGAGCGUAAACUCCUUUUAUAUAGGAAGAAGAUGACGGUACUAUAUGAAUAAGCGCCGGCUAACUCCGUGCCAGCAGCCGCGGUAAUACGGAGGGCGCAAGCGUUACUCGGAAUCACUGGGCGUAAAGAGCGUGUAGGCGGAUUAAAAAGUCAGAAGUGAAAUCCUAUAGCUUAACUAUAGAACUGCUUCUGAAACUCUUAAUCUAGAAUGUGGGAGAGGUAGAUGGAAUUUCUGGUGUAGGGGUAAAAUCCGUAGAGAUCAGAAGGAAUACCGAUUGCGAAGGCGAUCUGCCAGAACAUUAUUGACGCUGAGACGCGAAAGCGUGGGGAGCAAACAGGAUUAGAUACCCGCGUAGUC
rnacentral:rRNA from 1 species